AAUUAUAUUGAAUGAAACCUGCUCAAUGAUUUAAAUAGCCGCAGAAAAUUUACUGUGCUAAGGUAGCAUAAUCACUUGCCUUUUAAUUAAAGGCUAGAAUGAACGGUUAUAUAAUUAAAUAAUUUUUUUCAGUAUUAAAAUUAAACUUACAAUAAAUAUAAAAAUAUAUUUAUUUAUACAAAAGACGAAAAGACCCUAUUGAACUUUACUAAAGUUAAGCUGGGGAAGCUUCUUAAUAAAAAUUUUAAAUAAAACAUUAAAAUUAAUAACUCUUAUAAAGAAAUUUUAAUCAAGUUACCAUAGGGAUAACAGCGUAAUAUUUUUUUAAAGCUCUUAUUUAAAAAAAAGUUUACGACCUCGAUGUUGAAUUAAUUUUUCUUUUGGCGCAAGAGCUAAACUAGAUAAGUCUGUUCGACUUUUAAAAAAUUACA
rnacentral:rRNA from 4 species